UGGCGAUCGUUAAAUUCGGCAUCUCCUCGUGGCUGUGCGAAUUGUCCAUUGCCGUAUCGUACCCUCCCGACGGCUUAGCGGAGUGCUCCGCGUACAGUGAGCGCUUAAUAAAUACCGUCGGAUCGAAUGAGUGAAUGAAAAUUCAGGCCCGGGCCGAAGUUUAGGGGUACAGGCAAUUCCAUAAGGAAGCGGAAUCGCAAAUCGUAUUUGGGUCCACGCAGCGGUCGGCUGCCUAACAGAUCGGAAUAGUCCGGGGGAAGGGGAAGUUGGGUUACGCGACGUGGACGCUGUUUAAAAAGUCGGUUAUGUUUUCUUUUCUCGGCUGCUCCCCACGGACAUCCCUCGCGUAGUAAGACCAGCUCCCGUUUGCACGGGACCCCGCAGACAGCUUGCUGAUCAUAAAUGCACCUGCCGCAUUGGGUGGUCCAAAGAAUAAAGAGGAGACCGUGUCUUCUGCUCUCAAGCACAUCGGCGAGGGCGCAGUAACUCUAAAUGCUGCUGCUGCCGCCGCUGGCUACGAUGAUGAUAAUAGCCACAGCGGAGCGGAAAAUGGAAAUUUUAAAACCCGCCUGACCUUUUUUCGAAGAGAGACUUGGAAAUUUGACUGCUUCCAUCUCGGGAUUCGUCGAGAAUCUUUUUUUACGAGACUCUAUAUUCAAGCUGCUCUUUUUCAGAGGCAAAGGAAUCAAUCUUCUGGUUCGUAACAGAGUUAGGAAAUGCCCGACCUCAAUUUCUGAACAACUUGGAAACUUGGCCAUCGUAGAAACUAGAUUAAGGAAAAGAAGACCUCCAGAAUGCCUACAUCACUUGGCUGUCUAUCCAGGCGGACUCCUGGGCUGAUCAUUACACAAAUCCCCUGCCUCGAUGGGCCCGGCCUGCGGUAUCCAAAGCAAACCAAGGCGGAUCAGACCACUUGAAAGCGAGAGUACUAGUCAUCAGUUCCCCGCUUAAUGGCUCGAAAAUGAGGCUGGGACUAUCCUGGUGGUUAAACAGCAGGCAAUAAAUAGCUGCUCAGA